GGGAUAACUAUUGGAAACGAUAGCUAAGACCGCAUAGGUGUGCCCAUCGCAUGAGGGACAUAUGAAAUAUGCUACGGCAUAGGUAGAGGAUGGACUUAUGGCGCAUUAGCUAGUUGGAGGGGUAACGGCCCACCAAGGCGACGAUGCGUAGCCGACCUGAGAGGGUGACCGGCCACACUGGGACUGAGACACGGCCCAGACUCCUACGGGAGGCAGCAGUAGGGAAUUUUCGGCAAUGGGGGAAACCCUGACCGAGCAACGCCGCGUGAAGGAAGAAGUAAUUCGUUAUGUAAACUUCUGUCAUAGAGGAAGAACGGUGCGUGUAGGGAAUGACAUGCAAGUGACGGUACUCUAUAAGAAAGCCACGGCUAACUACGUGCCAGCAGCCGCGGUAAUACGUAGGUGGCGAGCGUUAUCCGGAAUUAUUGGGCGUAAAGAGGGAGCAGGCGGCACUAAGGGUCUGUGGUGAAAGAUCGAAGCUUAACUUCGGUAAGCCAUGG
rnacentral:rRNA from 1 species